rnacentral:rRNA from 1 species
UACGUAGGGGCUAGCGUUGUCCGGAUUUAUUGGGCGUAAAGAGCGUGUAGGCGGCCAGAUAGGUCUGCUGUGAAAACUCGAGGCUCAACCUCGAGAUGUCGGCGGAAACCAUUUGGCUAGAGUCCGGAAGAGGAAAGUGGAAUUCCUGGUGUAGCGGUGGAAUGCGCAGAUAUCAGGAGGAACACCGGUGGCGAAGGCGGGUCUCUGGGCCGACAUUGACGCUGAGGAGCGAAAGCGUGGGGAGCGAACAGG